UACGAAGGGGGGCUAGCGUUGCUCGGAUUGACUGGGCGUAAAGGGCGCGUAGGCGGAUGGCACAGUCAGAUGUGAAAUUCCCGGGCUUAACCUGGGGGCUGCAUUUGAUACGUGUUGUCUUGAGUUCGGAAGAGGGUCGUGGAAUUCCCAGUGUAGAGGUGAAAUUCGUAGAUAUUGGGAAGAACACCGGUGGCGAAGGCGGCGACCUGGUCCGACACUGACGCUGAGGCGCGAAAAGCGUGGGGGAGCAAACAGG
rnacentral:rRNA from 1 species